GGAAGGCUUCCAAGAGGAAGGCUGGGGAUGUUUACUAAACAGACGCCAGGCCCAGGCCCACGCACCAGACCCUGGCCUGAAAGUUCCAGCUGACCUUCCUGUUGACAUUGAUUUGAAAGUUUGAGGAUAGCAGACCGAGAUAGCCUGUCCACGGAGGCUGGGCGCAAGACCCAGGCUGAUCCAAUCCUAAGACCAUAUCCUCCUGGCAAAAUCAGAGAGGAGCGUGCGACCAAGAGCGGCCAUUCAGAUGCUGUUUCAAACAUUUAAUGGCCCAGGGGACAUUCUGUUCCAGAGACACAAUCAUAUGCAAGACCUGGGCCUGGGGAGCACAAAGUAUCUGCUGCAGCGUAGCGUGCUGUGGAGCCAGCCCGGCCCACCUGGCCCGUGGCACAGGGGCAAUUAUUUUCUCCCCACUCCUGCCAUUCUGCUCUCACUGCCUUUAGGGGAAGUUGCACAGUUGUUGUUCCAGGUCCCAACUCACUGCCGGGGUGUGCGUGCCGGGUUGAGGCAGGGAUGCGUGCAGGAGUGGACGGAAGCAUAAACCAUGGCCGCCAUAGCAGUGGAAAUCCUAACAUUUAGAAGGCAGAUAUUAUCUCUAAAUGAAUUGAGACCAAAUUCAAAGAAGAUAUUCAUCACACUGGUUUAAGCUUGCGUCACAUUCCUGUAUCACUCUGGCUGUGCGUUACGAAUUAAUACUUUUAAUAAAUCCUGUAAUUAUCUUGUGAAUAGUGCAUAAUUAU
rnacentral:lncRNA from 1 species